UGCUCGACGUCUUUCACUCACAACCAUCUUUUUGUGAGAAUGUGAAGGUAAAAAGUCUUUGCUUCGUGGUAUCAGAACCUAACAAGGGCUUCUAACAAGUUGGUGAGUGGCUCUUCUUCUUCGACAACCAUCUCCAGAUCCUCUUUGAUCUUCUUCGUCUCCAGCCGUCUCCAGCCGUUUCAAGCCAUCUCCAGACGUCAUCAACAUCGAAUCAGGGCUGAAAACUAUCGAUGAGCUCCUAUGCAUCUUGGGAAUUUUACAGAUAGAAUGAAAGCCAUGAAAGUGCUCCUAUCUGAGUCCGAUCCAUUAACAGUUGAACUUUUUCUUUCUUUAGAUCAUGUUGGUGACGAAUGAGUUACAUAAUUAAGUUAGUUGAACUUUGGUACCUUCUGUUGUUUUAGUUGAAUAUUUAAGCCAGUGGACUUAUUGCUUUGUUAAACCAGAGCAAACACUACAGCUACUCAAUCCUAGCUUGGCUCUCAAUCCAUCUCUGCUCCAAUCAGAGGGGGAAUCCGAUGACGGGUUGGUUAAGAAUGAGAACGGCAACCAGGAUGUGAGGCAAGUUGACGAUCAAGAUAAGCAACAAGAACUAUUAGACAGAGAGCUUGAAGUAAUAGACAAAGCAUACAGUUGUGGGGUUGUUCACUUAAUUGGGGAAACUGAAGUGGCAGCUGAGAAAUGAGCUGGUAUAGUUAAAGAAUGUGAUUGAGAUUGACUAUGCUUACAGUUUCUUGAAGAGUAAUUUGAGGUAGAGUGAGAAAGUGUUGGAUAUUCCUCACAAGCGCAUGUUGAAAGUGGGGAUGAUCUAUGAACUU